GAUGAAGAACGCAGCGAAAUGCGAUAAGUAGUGUGAAUUGCAGAAUUCAGUGAAUCAUCGAAUCUUUGAACGCACAUUGCGCCCCUUGGUAUUCCAUGGGGCAUGCCUGUUCGAGCGUCAUUUGUACCUUCAAGCUUUGCUUGGUGUUGGGUGUUUGUCUCGCCUUUGCGUGUAGACUCGCCUUAAAAUAAUUGGCAGCCGGCGUAUUGAUUUCGGAGCGCAGUACAUCUCGCGCUUUGCACUCAUAACGACAGCGUCCAAAAGUACAUUUUACACUCUUGAACUCGGAUCAGGUAGGGAUACCCGCUGAACUUAAGCAUAUCAAUAAGCGGAGGA
rnacentral:misc_RNA from 1 species